rnacentral:rRNA from 1 species
GACGAACGCUGGCGGCGUGCUUAACACAUGCAAGUCGAACGGAAAGGCCUCUUUCGGGGGGUACUCGAGUGGCGAACGGGUGAGUAACACGUGAGUAACCUGCCCUUGACUUUGGGAUAACUUCAGGAAACUGGGGCUAAUACCGGAUAGGAGCUCCUGCUGCAUGGUGGGGGUUGGAAAGUUUCGGCGGUUGGGGAUGGACUCGCGGCUUAUCAGCUUGUUGGUGGGGUAGUGGCUUACCAAGGCUUUGACGGGUAGCCGGCCUGAGAGGGUGACCGGCCACAUUGGGACUGAGAUACGGCCCAGACUCCUACGGGAGGCAGCAGUGGGGAAGAGUGCACAAGGGGUGGAAGCCUGAUGCAGCAACGCCGUGGGCGGGAGGACGGCCUUCGGGUUGUAAACCGCUUUCGCUCAUGACGAAGCUUUGUGUGACGGUAGUGGGUAAAGAAGCACCGGCUAACUACGUG